GAUCAUGGCUCAGGAUGAACGCUGGCGGCGUGCCUAACACAUGCAAGUCGAACGAAGCACUGGAGAGCGGAGAUUCGUCAAAGCACUCCUUUGGCUUAGUGGCGGACGGGUGAGUAAUGCGUGAGCAACCUGCCUUUCAGAGGGGGACAACAGUUGGAAACGACUGCUAAUACCGCAUAACGUAUACGGGGGGCAUCCCCUGGAUACCAAAGGAGCAAUCCGCUGAAAGAUGGGCUCACGUCUGAUUAGCUAGUUGGUGGGUAACGGCCCACCAAGGCUGCGAUCAGUAGCCGGACUGAGAGGUUGAACGGCCACAUUGGGACUGAGAUACGGCCCAGACUCCUACGGGAGGCAGCAGUGGGGAAUAUUGGGCAAUGGGCGAAAGCCUGAACCCCAGCAACGCCGCGUGAAGGAAGAAGGUCCUCGGAUUGUAAACUUCUUUUAUGAGGACGAAGGACGUGACGGUACCUCAUGAAUAAGCCACGGCUAACUACGUGCCAGCAGCUGC
rnacentral:rRNA from 1 species